GCCGCGGACAGAGAGAUUUCUCAAGGCUCUUCUUAGCCAGGGAUGUAACACGCGGGCCGCAUUGGCGAAAGUGUGGGAGACAAGUCCAAAGUUUCUGCAGCGGGAAUACCUGGAGUGGGUCAAGGAGUCUGAGCAUGCCGAGGUCAUGACCUCUUGGCCUCCUACGUGAUAUGGGAAGAUCCACUAGACUGGAAUGAGAUUGAGAUGUACAGUCGAAAUUGUCCAUGACUGACCACCCUUUUGUCAAAGAGAAAAGAAGUUGUCUCAGACAAAUGGACGUCUUGGACAGUUUCAUAAUAAUAUUACACCCCCCUACCCUCCCCUGCCCAAAGCAAAAACAAGAACGUAAAGGGGAAAUGGGAAGUGGUCGUUUGUACAGGUGAUUGUUUUAGACAGGUGGCCGUUUGAGCUCGCUUGAAUGUACUAUAAUGUAGUCUAUAAGAAAAUUGGGUUUUUUUGUUCGCAAGCAUAUCUUAUUUUCAAGAGCUCUGUGUGAUGAAGGUCACCCAUGAAAGUUAUGAGUCUAGAAAAUAAAUUCUUCAGUAAGUGUAAUUGGUCUUUCUGUACUAUCGGAAAACUUCAAAAGGCAAAAGGUCGUGCAUACUUCGUGGAAACUAUAUGUUUGUGGUAUUAGUAUUCCUUUUAAUAAAUGUUAAAAAAAUUAGACACUUCUGAAAAAAGUGCACUAUUUUAACUGUUUAUGCAUAAAUUAUAUGACAAGUUGAUGACGUCGGCUCACUGGAUUAAGUGGAAUAAAAUGAAUAUUCAUUAA